CCUACGGGUGGCAGCAGUAGGGAAUUUUGCGCAAUGGGCGAAAGCCUGACGCAGCAACGCCGCGUGAUCGAGACGCCCUUCGGGGUGUAAAGAUCUGUCAGUGGGGACGAAACUUUACGGUACCCACAGAGGAAGCACCGGCUAACUCCGUGCCAGCAGCCGCGGUAAUACGGGGGGUGCAAGCGUUGUCCGGAACCAUUGGGCGUAAAGAGUUCGUAGGCGGCACGUAAAGCCCGGUGGUAAAGGCAGAGGCUCAACUUCUGUACGGCACUGGAUACUUUCGAGCUAGAAUGCGGUAAUGGUAAAGGGAAUGCGUGGUGUAGCGGUGAAAUGCAUAGAUAUCAGGAGGAA
rnacentral:rRNA from 1 species